UACGUAGGGUGCGAGCGUUGUCCGGAAUUACUGGGCGUAAAGAGCUCGUAGGUGGUUUGUCGCGUUGUUCGUGAAAACCGGGGGCUUAACCCUCGGCGUGCGGGCGAUACGGGCAGACUGGAGUACUGCAGGGGAGACUGGAAUUCCUGGUGUAGCGGUGGAAUGCGUAGAGAUCCGGAAGAACACCGGUGGCGAAGGCGGCCCGCUGGGCAACUGCUGACACUGAUGCGCGACAGCGUGGGGAGCAAACAGG
rnacentral:rRNA from 1 species